rnacentral:sRNA from 1 species
GCUGGGCAUGUUAGCGCAUGCCUGUAAUCCCAGCUACUCAGGAAGCUGAGGCAGGAGAAUUGUUUGAACCCAGGAGGCAGAGGUUGCAGUGAGCUGAGGUCAUGCUACUGCACUCUGGCCUGGGCAACAGAACGAGAAUCUGUCUCCA